GACGAACCGUGCAAACGUUGUUCGGAAUCACUGGGCUUAAAGGGCGCGUAGGCGGGCAAGCAAGUCCGGGGUGAAAUCUUUCGGCCCAACCGGAAAAGGGCCUUGGAUACUGCUUGUCUGGAGGGAGGUAGGGGCAGACGGAACUUCCGGUGGAGCGGUGAAAUGCGUUGAUAUCGGAAGGAACGCCGGUGGCGAAAGCGGUCUGCUGGACCUCUACUGACGCUGAGGCGCGAAAGCUAGGGGAGCAAACAGG
rnacentral:rRNA from 1 species